rnacentral:rRNA from 1 species
UACGGGGGGGGCAAGCGUUGUUCGGAAUUACUGGGCGUAAAGGGCUCGUAGGUGGCCAACUAAGUCGGACGUGAAAUCCCUCGGCUUAACCGGGGAACUGCGUCUGAUACUGGAUGGCUUGAGUUCGGGAGAGGGAUGCGGAAUUCCAGGUGUAGCGGUGAAAUGCGCAGAUAUCAGGAGGAACACCGGUGGCGAAGGCGGGUCUCUGGGCCGAUACUGACGCUGAGGAGCGAAAGCGUGGGGAGCGAACAGG